rnacentral:sRNA from 1 species
AGGCAAUGUUUGGGGCAAUGUUUGUCCCUC